rnacentral:misc_RNA from 1 species
GUGAAUCAUCGAAUUUUUGAACGCAAAUUGCACUCUCUUCGGAGAGUAUGCCUGUUUGAGGGUCAGCCUAAAAAAAAAAUCGACAUUGUCGUUGUUUCGCUGUGACACUUGUCGGAUAUUGGGACAUUUUAACUUUUUGGUUUUUAAGGCGUAUAAAAUUUUUUUUGCGGUUCCACAAGUGUUUAUAAUAUU